rnacentral:rRNA from 1 species
UUGACGGGGACCCGCACAAGCGGUGGAGCAUGUGGUUUAAUUCGAAGCAACGCGAAGAACCUUACCAAAUCUUGACAUCCUCUGACCCCUCUAGAGAUAGAGUUUUCCCCUUCGGGGGACAGAGUGACAGGUGGUGCAUGGUUGUCGUCAGCUCGUGUCGUGAGAUGUUGGGUUAAGUCCCGCAACGAGCGCAACCCUUAAGCUUAGUUGCCAUCAUUAAGUUGGGCACUCUAAGUUGACUGCCGGUGACAAACCGGAGGAAGGUGGGGAUGACGUCAAAUCAUCAUGCCCCUUAUGAUUUGGGCUACACACGUGCUACAAUGGACAAUACAAAGGGUAGCGAAACCGCGAGGUCAAGCAAAUCCCAUAAAGUUGUUCUCAGUUCGGAUUGUAGUCUGCAACUCGACUAUAUGAAGCUGGAAUCGCUAGUAAUCGUAGAUCAGCAUGCUACGGUGAAUACGUUCCCGGGUCUUGUACACACCGCCCGUCACACCACGAGAGUUUGUAACACCCGAAGCCGGUGGAGUAACCAUUUGGAGCUAGCCGUCGAAGGUGGGACAAAUGAUUGGGGUGAAGUCGUAACAAGGUAGCCGUAUCGGAAGGUGCGGCUGGAUCACCUCCUUU